AAUGGGCGCAAGCCUGAUCCAGCCAUACCGCGUGUGUGAAGAAGGCCUUCGGGUUGUAAAGCACUUUAAGUAAGGAAGAAAAUGACAUUACUUACAGAAUAAGGACCGGCUAAUUCCGUGCCAGCAGCCGCGGUAAUACGGAAGGUCCAAGCGUUAAUCGGAAUUACUGGGCGUAAAGCGCGCGUAGGUGGUUUAUUAAGUUGGGUGUGAAAGCCCCGGGCUCAACCUGGGAACUGCAUCCAAAACUGAUUCACUAGAGUACGAAAGAGGAAAGUAGAAUUCACAGUGUAGCGGUGGAAUGCGUAGAUAUUGUGAAGAAUACCGAUGGCGAAGGCAGCUUUCUGGUUCUGUACUGACACUGAGGUGCGAAA
rnacentral:rRNA from 1 species